UACGAAGGGGGCUAGCGUUGCUCGGAAUCACUGGGCGUAAAGGGUGCGUAGGCGGGUAUUUAAGGCAGGGGGGAAAUCCUGGAGCUCAACUCCAGAACUGCCUUUGAUACUGAAGAUCUUGAGUUCGGGAGAGGUGAGUGGAACUGCGAGUGUAGAGGUGAAAUUCGUAGAUAUUCGCAAGAACACCAGUGGCGAAGGCGGCUCACUGGCCCGAUACUGACGCUGAGGCACGAAAGCGUGGGGAGCAAACAGG
rnacentral:rRNA from 1 species